GACGUAGGUGGCGAACGUUAUCCGGAAUUAUUGGGCGUAAAGGGUGCGUAGGUGACCUGACAAGUUAUCAGUGGCAAAUCGAGGCUCAACCUCGUGGAAACUGGUAAUACUGUUCGGCUUGAGUACAGGAGAGGUUAACGGAACUCUAUGUGGAGCGGUAAAAUGCACAGAUAUAUAGAAGAACAUCAAUAAAGGCGAAGGCAGUUAACUAUUCUGUUACUGACGCUGAGGCACGAAAGCGUGGGGAGCAAAACGG
rnacentral:rRNA from 1 species